rnacentral:rRNA from 1 species
UACGAAGGGGGCUAGCGUUGCUCGGAAUCACUGGGCGUAAAGGGUGCGUAGGCGGGUCUUUAAGUCCAGGGUGAAAUCCUGGAGCUCAACUCCAGAACUGCCUUUGAUACUGAAGAUCUUGAGUUCGGGAGAGGUGAGUGGAACUGCGAGUGUAGAGGUGAAAUUCGUAGAUAUUCGCAAGAACACCAGUGGCGAAGGCGGCUCACUGGCCCGAUACUGACGCUGAGGUGCGAAAGCGUGGGGAGCAAACAGG